rnacentral:rRNA from 1 species
UCUCAGUUCCAGACGAGUAGUGCAUCUACCCGAUGCGACGGCUCGGACUGAACAUCAUGCCGGUUCUUUCUUGGUGCACUUCAUUGUGUGCCUCGAGAUGGCCGGUGCUUUUACUUUGAAAAAAUUAGAGUGCUCAACGCAGGCGAGUCGCCUGAAUAAACUUGCAUGGAAUAAUAGAACAAGACCUCGUUUCUGUUCUGUUGGUUUUGGAAUACGAGGUAAUGAUUAAGAGGGACGGACGGGGGCAUUCGUAUUGCGGCGCUAGAGGUGAAAUUCUUGGACCGUCGCAAGACGAACUACUGCGAAAGCAUUUGCCAAGAAUGUUUUCAUUGAUCAAGAACGAAAGUCAGAGGUUCGAAGGCGAUCAGAUACCGCCCUAGUUCUGACCAUAAACGAUGCCAACCAGCGAUCCGCCUGAGUUACUCAAAUGACUCGGCGGGCAGCUUCCGGGAAACCAAAGUAUUUGGGUUCCGGGGGAAGUAUGGUUGCAAAGCUGAAACUUAAAGGAAUUGACGGAAGGGCACCACCAGGAGUGGAGCCUGCGGCUUAAUUUGACCCAACACGGGAAAACUUACCCGGCCCGGACACUGGGAGGAUUGACAGAUUGAGAGCUCUUUCUUGAUUCGGUGGAUGGUGGUGCAUGGCCGUUCUUAGUUGGUGGAGCGAUUUGUCUGGUUAAUUCCGAUAACGAACGAGACUCUAGCCUAUUAAAUAGGUGCGGGGUUCCCAGCACCUUACAACCUUCUUAGAGGGACAAGCGGCUCCUAGCCGCACGAAACAGAGCAAUAACAGGUCUGUGAUGCCCUUAGAUGUCCGGGGCCGCACGCGCGCUACACUGAAGGAAGCAGCGUGUCUUUAUCCCUGUCUGAAAAGACUGGGUAACCCGUGGAACUUCUUUCGUGAUUGGGAUAGGGGCUUGCAAUUGUUCCCCUUGAACGAGGAAUUCCCAGUAAGCGCGAGUCAUAAGCUCGCGUUGAUUACGUCCCUGCCCUUUGUACACACCGCCCGUCGUUACUUCCUCUAAUGAUCAAGUUUGGUCAUCUUUCCAACAGACCGGCGCAACCGAAGGCCGCGCCGGAC